rnacentral:rRNA from 1 species
CCCUUAGAUGUUCUGGGCCACACGCGCGCUACACUGACGAAUGCAACGAGCUUAUAACCUUGGCCGAAAGGUCUGGGUAAUCUCCAAAUUUCGUCGUGAUGGGGAUAGAUUAUUGCAAUUAUUAAUCUUCAACGAGGAAUGCCUAGUAAGCGCAAGUCAUCAGCUUGCGUUGAUUACGUCCCUGCCCUUUGUACACACCGCCCGUCGCUCCUACCGAUUGAAUGGUCCGGUGAAGCGUUCGGACCGUGGCCUUUGGACGGUUCGCCGUCUGUUGGCUGCGGGAAGUUCGUUAAACCUUAUCAUUUAGAGGAAGGAGAAGUCGUAACA